UACGGAGGUGGCAAGCGUUGCUCGGAAUCACUGGGCGUAAAGGGCGCGUAGGCGGGGAGGUAAGUCUGGUGUGAAAUCCCUUGGCUCAACCAAGGAACUGCGCCCGAGACUGCUUCUCUUGAGUCCCGGAGAGGAAGGUGGAAUUCCCGGUGUAGCGGUGAAAUGUGUAGAGAUCGGGAGGAACACCGGUGGCGAAGGCGGCCUUCUGGACGGUGACUGACGCUGAGGCGCGAAAGCCAGGGGAGCAAACGGG
rnacentral:rRNA from 1 species